rnacentral:rRNA from 1 species
CUUAAAGGAAUUGACGGGGACCCGCACAAGCGGUGGAUGAUGUGGUUUAAUUCGAUGCAACGCGAAAAACCUUACCUACCCUUGACAUGCCAGGAACUUGCCAGAGAUGGCUUGGUGCUCGAAAGAGAGCCUGGACACAGGUGCUGCAUGGCUGUCGUCAGCUCGUGUCGUGAGAUGUUGGGUUAAGUCCCGCAACGAGCGCAACCCUUGUCAUUAGUUGCUACGAAAGGGCACUCUAAUGAGACUGCCGGUGACAAACCGGAGGAAGGUGGGGAUGACGUCAAGUCCUCAUGGCCCUUAUGGGUAGGGCUACACACGUCAUACAAUGGCCGGUACAGAGGGUUGCCAACCCGCGAGGGGGAGCUAAUCCCAGAAAACCGGUCGUAGUCCGGAUCGUAGUCUGCAACUCGACUGCGUGAAGUCGGAAUCGCUAGUAAUCGCGGAUCAGCUUGCCGCGGUGAAUACGUUCCCGGGUCUUGUACACACCGCCCGUCACACCAUGGGAGCGGGUUCUGCCA